rnacentral:rRNA from 1 species
UGGGGAAUUUUGGACAAUGGGCGAAAGCCUGAUCCAGCAAUGCCGCGUGUGUGAAGAAGGCCUUCGGGUUGUAAAGCACUUUUGUCCGGAAAGAAAUCCUUGGCUCUAAUACAGUCGGGGGAUGACGGUACCGGAAGAAUAAGCACCGGCUAACUACGUGCCAGCAGCCGCGGUAAUACGUAGGGUGCAAGCGUUAAUCGGAAUUACUGGGCGUAAAGCGUGCGCAGGCGGUUUGCUAAGACCGAUGUGAAAUCCCCGGGCUCAACCUGGGAACUGCAUUGGUGACUGGCAGGCUAGAGUAUGGCAGAGGGGGGUAGAAUUCCACGUGUAGCAGUGAAAUGCGUAGAGAUGUGGAGGAAUACCGAUGGCGAAGGCAGCCCCCUGGGCCAAUACUGACGCUCAUGCACGAAAGCGUGGGGGAGCAAACAGGAUUAGAUACCCUGGUAGUCCACGCCCUAAAACGAUGUCAACUAGUUGUUGGGGAUUCAUUUCCUUAGUAACGUAGCUAACGCGUGAAGUUGACCGCCUGGGGAGUACGGUCGCAAGAUUAAAACUU